AGUGAACGUUGGCGGUAGGCCUAACACAUGCAAGUCGAACGGCAGCACAGGAGAGCUUGCUCUCUGGGUGGCGAGUGGCGGACGGGUGAGGAAUACAUCGGAAUCUACUCUGUCGUGGGGGAUACCGUAGGGAAACUUACGCUAAUACCGCAUACGACCUACGGGUGAAAGCAGGGGAUCUUCGGACCUUGCGCGAUUGAAUGAGCCGAUGUCGGAUUAGCUAGUUGGCGGGGUAAAGGCCCACCAAGGCGACGAUCCGUAGCUGGUCUGAGAGGAUGAUCAGCCACACUGGAACUGAGACACGGUCCAGACUCCUACGGGAGGCAGCAGUGGGGAAUAUUGGACAAUGGGCGCAAGCCUGAUCCAGCCAUACCGCGUGGGUGAAGAAGGCCUUCGGGUUGUAAAGCCCUUUUGUUGGGAAAGAAAUCCAGCUGGCUAAUACCCGGUUGGGAUGGCGGUACCCAAAGAAUAAGCACCGGCAAACUUCGUGCCAGCCGCCGCCGUAA
rnacentral:rRNA from 1 species